GGUUUAGGAGGGAAGGCGAAAGCGCGACAUCGUGUCGCUACGCCUUCAUGACCCACAUCCUGUGGG
rnacentral:sRNA from 1 species